CCCUUAAGCCCCAAGAAAUUUUCCUUCUUAUUCACUCUUCUUGAUUCUACAAAUCAACUAUAAUUUCAACUAAAUUCUAACCCAAAAACAAAAACAAAUUUCAAUUUUCAUUCCUCUUGUUCUCUGUGAAUUGAACCAUCCAUAAUUACCACCAAAAACCACCGAGUCGUCUCAGUCAAACACCAACCACCACCACUGCCUACAACCACCAGCACCGACAACCACCGCAAUCACCAUCGCACACCCACCGUACUACUCCCUGCAUCCUCUUCUUCCCCUCGCGAUUCCCUGCCUCUCUCCCUUCCUUUGCCCUGCCUGCAACCACCGACUGUCUACUAUCUUCCACCACCACCGUGAUAACCACCAACUGUCCACCACCAUAACCACCGACCACCACCGUACUUCCUCCUCCCCCAAAACCAACCAAAAACCACCCUAUACCUCCCCUGCUUCCUCCUCUUUUCACCCUUUCACCCCCUUCUCUUGACCGCACCUCCGCCGCAAAACCACCCUCACCAUCAUCGUCGCGCUCCGGCGCGGUAUCGCGCUGCUGCGACACCCAGGUCGCCGCCCAGCUCAGCCGCCCUCCCUCCUCUCCUCCCCCCCUUCGUUCUCCUCUGGUUCCUUCCUCAAUUCGCACCUCAUUCUCUCUUCUUUUGACCAACGUGCCGCCGCCCAGCCACCACCCUCACCGGCGUAUUAAUCGACGCAACCCAACCCAACCGCCACCUCCCUCUUCCCUUCUUCUCUUGCCCUGUUACUCGUGCUUUCCUCCCUCCCUGUUCGUGCUCCCUAAUUCCAGAAAACCAAAAACCCAAAAUUCAGAAUAUUUAACUUUGGUUUCUAUUUUCCCCUCAAACCCAAAUUAAGGUUGGGCCAAUUGAAUUGGGCCUUUGAAAUCGAACUUGGAGCUCAGGAAGAACGAUCCAUCAGACGGGAAGUAUAAAACUACGGUUGAGGUACUGCGGGGAGCGAUGGACAUGAGUAGUGGCGAGGAAUUUCACUUUAUUAUUAUUCACCUAGUUUAUGCUUAAUGUUUUAAUAGUUCAAUUAAAGACUUUUAGUAAGUUAUGUACUUGUAUUUUGGGAAUAUAAAUGAUUAUUAUAUUAAAUUGGA